AAUAUUGGACAAUGGGGGCAACCCUGAUCCAGCCAUGCCGCGUGUGUGAAGAAGGCCUUCGGGUUGUAAAGCACUUUAAGUUGGGAGGAAAGGCUGUGGGCUAAUACCCUGCAGUUUUGACGUUACCAACAGAAUAAGCACCGGCUAACUCUGUGCCAGCAGCCGCGGUAAUACAGAGGGUGCAAGCGUUAAUCGGAAUUACUGGGCGUAAAGCGCGCGUAGGCGGUUAAGUAAGUCAGAUGUGAAAUCCCCGGGCUUAACCUGGGAAUUGCAUUGGAGACUGGAUGGCUAGAGUAUGGUAGAGGGUAGUGGAAUUUCAGGUGUAGCGGUGAAAUGCGUAGAUAUCUGAAGGAACAUCAGUGGCGAAGGCGACUCACUGGACUAUUACUGACGCUGAGGUGCGAAAGCGUGGGGAGCAAACAG
rnacentral:rRNA from 1 species